rnacentral:rRNA from 1 species
GACGAACGCUGGCGGCGUGCCUAAUACAUGCAAGUCGAACGCAGUGGGGACGGGUGAGUAACACGUGGGUCACCUCCCAUCAGAGGGGAUAACACUUGGAAACAGGUGCUAAACCGAUACUGAUGGAUGGACCCGCGGUGCAUUAGCUAGUUGGUGAGGUAACGGCGCACCAAGGCCAAGAUGCAUAGCCGACCGAAGCGGGGAAUCGGCCACACUGGGACGGAGACACGGCCAAGAAUCCUCCGGGAGGCAGCAGUAGUGAAUCUUCGGCAAUGGACGAAAGUCUGACCGAGCAACGCCGCGUGAGUGAAAAAGGUUUUCGGAUCGUAAAACUCUGUUGUUAGAGCAGCGGUAUCUAACCAGAAAGCCACGGCUAACUACGUGCCAGCAGCCGCGGUAAUAC